rnacentral:tRNA from 1 species
CCUGAGUUAGGAUAGAAUUAAUCUACUAGCUUUAGGAGCUAAUGACGGGAGUUUCCCACUUAGUA